rnacentral:rRNA from 1 species
CCAGCAGUGCGGUUAUUCAAAUAAUGUAAUUUAAUUUAUUCAGUAAUAAUUAAUUAAUAUUUUAAAUUAAAGUUUGUAAGGUGAAAUUUAAAAUUUUAAUAAAAUUAGAAUUUUAUAAUGAAGUUAGGAAAUUUAUAAAUUAAACUAGGAUUAGAUACCCUUAUAAAUGUAAAAUAAUAGUACUAAAUUAGUAUUAGUUAUGUUCUUGAAAAUUAAAAAAUUUGGCGGUAUCUUAGUCUUUUCAGAGGAACCUGUUCUAUAAUUGAUAGUCCACGAUUUAAUUUACUUUUUUUAAUAGUUUGUAUAUCGUCGUAAUUUGAAUAUUUUAUUAGGAUUAAAUAUUCAUGAUUUUAAAUUAAAAAAUAAAUCAGAUCAAGGUGCAGUUUAUAAAAAAGAAGAAAUGGGUUACAUUAAAGUUAUUUAGGGAUUAUUAUUAUUAAAAUAAUAUGAAUUUGGAUUUGAAAGUAAAUUUAAUUAAUUAAUUAAAUUGAUUUAGCUCUAAGAUAUGCACACAUCGCC